AUAUCUCGCCGGAAAACACAAAAAAAUUAGGGUUUGUUGUUCACCGGACUAACGCCGGCCAUGGCUGUGCACGCUGGAGUAGGCUUAACAAAGAUCGUCUUCAUCGUCGGAGCAGGGUAUACUGGUACUUUGUUGUUUAAAAACGGAAAAUUAUCGGAUGUGAUAGGCGAGCUUCAGAAUUUGGUCAAAAGUUAUGAAAAGACAG